rnacentral:rRNA from 1 species
AUACGGAAGGUCCGGGCGUUAUCCGGAUUUAUUGGGUUUAAAGGGAGCGCAGGCGGAGAUGCAAGCGUGACGUCAAAUUUCGGGGCUCAACCCCGUCUCGCGUCGCGAACUGCGUCCCUUGGUUGCGGGAAGGGGAGGCGGAACUCGUGGUGUAGCGGUGAAAUGCAUAGAUAUCACGAAGAACUCCGAUCGCGAAGGCAGCCUUCCGGCCCGUCAACGACGCUCAUGCUCGAAGGUGCGGGUAUCAAACAGGAUUAGGUACCCUGGUAGUCCGCACAGUAAACGAUGGACACCCGCGGUUUGGCCUGUAUGGCUGAGCCGCCAAGCGAAAGCGUUAAGUGUCCCACCUGGGGAGUACGCCGGCAACGGUGAAACUCAAAUGAAUUGGCGGGG